rnacentral:rRNA from 1 species
ACUGAAUAGAUACCCGGGUAGUCCACGCCCUAAACGAUGCGAACUGGACGUUGGUUGCAACUUGGCAAAUCAGUGUCGAAAGCUAACGCGUUAAGUUCGCCGCCUGGGGAGUACGGUCGCAAGACUGAAACUCAAAGGAAUUGACGGGGGCCCGCACAAGCGGUGGAGUAUGUGGUUUAAAUUCGAUGCAACGCGCAGAACCUUACCUGGCCUUGACAUGUCGCGAACUUCCAGAGAUGGAUUGGUGCUCGGUACGCGACACAGGUGCUGCAUGGCUGUCGUCAGCUCGUGUCGUGAGAUGUUGGGUUAAGUCCCGCAACGAGCGCAACCCUU